UAAGGAAUAUUGGUCAAUGGAGGCAACUCUGAACCAGCCAUGCCGCGUGCAGGAAGACGGCCCUCUGGGUUGUAAACUGCUUUUAUUCGGGAAUAAACCUAUCUACGUGUAGAUAGCUGAAUGUACCGAAGGAAUAAGGAUCGGCUAACUCCUUGCCAUCAGCCGCGGUAAUACGGAGGAUCCAAGCGUUAUCCGGAUUUAUUGGGUUUAAAGUGUGCGUAGGCGGCCUAUUAAGUCAGGGGUGAAAGACGGUAGCUCAACUAUCGCAGUGCCCUUGAUACUGAUGAGCUUGAAUGAACUAGAGGUAGACGGAAUGUGACAAGUAGCGGUGAAAUGCAUAGAUAUGUCACAGAACACCGAUUGCGAAGGCAGCUUACUAUGGUUUUAUCGACGCUGAGGCACGAAAGCGUGGGGAUCAAACA
rnacentral:rRNA from 1 species